CCUACGGGAGGCAGCAGUGGGGAAUAUUGGGCAAUGGGCGCAAGCCUGACCCAGCAACGCCGCGUGAAGGAAGAAGGCCCUCGGGUUGUAAACUUCUUUUAUUCGGGACGAAACAAAUGACGGUACCGAGUGAAUAAGCCACGGCUAACUACGUGCCAGCAGACGCGGUAAUACGUAGGUGGCAAGCGUUAUCCGGAUUUACUGGGUGUAAAGGGCGUGUAGGCGGGAGAGCAAGUCAGACGUGAAAUUCCAGGGCUCAACCCUGGAACUGCGUUUGAAACUGUUCUUCUUGAGUGAUGGGGAGGCAGGCGGAAUUCCGUGUGUAGCGGUGAAAUGCGUAGAUAUACGGAGGAACACCAGUGGCGAAGGCGGCCUGCUGGACAUUAACUGACGCUGAGGCGCGAAAGCGUGGGGAGCAAACAGGAUUAGAUACCCGUGUAGUC
rnacentral:rRNA from 1 species